rnacentral:rRNA from 1 species
UACUGCUCAGUAACACGUGGAUAACCUGCCCUUGGGUCCGGCAUAACCCCGGGAAACUGGGGAUAAUUCCGGAUAACGCACAUAUGCUGGAAUGCUUUAUGCGUAAAAUGGAUUCGUCUGCCCAAGGAUGGGUCUGCGGCCUAUCAGGUAGUAGUGGGUGUAAUGUACCUACUAGCCAACAACGGGUACGGGUUGUGAGAGCAAGAGCCCGGAGAUGGAUUCUGAGACAUGAAUCCAGGCCCUACGGGGCGCAGCAGGCGCGAAAACUUUACAAUGCGGGAAACCGUGAUAAGGGGACACCGAGUGCCAGCAUCAUAUGCUGGCUGUCCGGGUGUGUAAAAUACACCUGUUAGCAAGGGCCGGGCAAGACCGGUGCCAGCCGCCGCGGUAACACCGGCGGCCCGAGUGGUGAUCGUGAUUAUUGGGUCUAAAGGGUCCGUAGCCGGUUUGGUCAGUCCUCCGGGAAAUCUGAUAGCUCAACUAUUAGGCUUUCGGGGGAUACUGCCAGGCUUGGAACCGGGAGAGGUAAGAGGUACUACAGGGGUAGGAGUGAAAUCUUGUAAUCCCUGUGGGACCACCUGUGGCGAAGGCGUCUUACCAGAACGGGUUCGACGGUGAGGGACGAAAGCUGGGGGCACGAACCGGAUUAGAUACCCGGGUAGUCCCAGCCGUAAACGAUGCUCGCUAGGUGUCAGGCAUGGCGCGACCGUGUCUGGUGCCGCAGGGAAGCCGUGAAGCGAGCCACCUGGGAAGUACGGCCGCAAGGCUGAAACUUAAAGGAAUUGGCGGGGGAGCACA